rnacentral:rRNA from 1 species
GAUGAACGCUGGCGGCGUGCUUAACACAUGCAAGUCGAACGAAGCACUAUAUAUGAUUUCCUUCGGGACGGAUUAUUUUGUGACUGAGUGGCGGACGGGUGAGUAACGCGUGGGUAACCGGCCUUGUACAGGGGGAUAACAGGUGGAAACGGCUGAUAAUACCGGAGAAGCGGACAGCAUCGCAUGAUGCAGGGGGAAAAAAUCCGGUUGUAUAAGAUGGACCCGCGUUGGAUUCGCUAGUUGGUGAGGUAAGGGCCCACCAAGGCGACGAUCGAUAGCCGACCUGAGAGGGUGACCCGCCACAUUGGCACUGAGACACGGCCCAGACUCCUACGGGAGGCAGCAGUGGGGAAUAUUGCCCAAUCGGCGAAAGCCUGAUGCAGCGACGCCGCGUGAGCCAAGUUGUAUUUCGGUAUGUACAGCUCUAUCAGCACGGACGAUACUGACGGUACCUGACUAAGAAGCACCGGCUAAAUACGUG